UGGGGAAUAUUGGACAAUGGGGGAAACCCUGAUCCAGCAAUGCCGCGUGAGUGAAGAAGGCCUUAGGGUUGUAAAACUCUUUCACCGGGGAAGAUAAUGACGGUACCCGGAGAAGAAGCCCCGGCCAACUCCGUGCCAGCAGCCGCGGUAAUACGGAGGGGGCUAGCGUUGUUCGGAAUUACUGGGCGUAAAGAGCCCGCAGGCGGCUUGACAAGUUUCAGGUGAAAUCUCCCGGCUCAACUGGGAGGGGUCUUGGAAAACUGUCAGGCUUGAGGCAGGAAGGGGGAUGCGGAAUUCCGUGUGUAGCGGUGAAAUGCGUAGAUAUACGGAGGAACACCAGCGGCGAAGGCGGCAUCCUGGUCCUGACCUGACGCUCAGGGGCGAAAGCGUGGGGAGCAAACCGGAUUAGAUACCCGGGUAGUCCACGCUGUAAACGAUGAGUACUAGGAGUUGGGGGUAUCGACCCCCUCAGUUCCGAAACUAACGCGAUAAGUACUCCGCCUGGGGACUACGGCCGCAAGGCUA
rnacentral:rRNA from 1 species